rnacentral:rRNA from 1 species
AUACGUAGGGGGCGAGCGUUGUCCGGAAUUACUGGGCGUAAAGGGCGCGUAGGCGGUCUAAUAAGUCAGAUGUGAAACCCCCGGGCUUAACCCUGGGCUUGCAUUUGAAACUGUUGGACUUGAGGACAGGAGAGGAAAGCGGAAUUCCCAGUGUAGCGGUGAAAUGCGUAGAUAUUGGGAGGAACACCAGUGGCGAAGGCGGCUUUCUGGACUGCACCUGACGCUGAGGCGCGAAAGCCAGGGGAGCGAACGGGAUUAGAUACCCCGGUAGUCCUGGCCGUAAACGAUGGAUACUAGGUGUGGGAGGUAUCGACCCCUUCCGUGCCGGAGCAAACGCAAUAAGUAUCCCGCCUGGGGAGUACGGCCGCAAGGCUGAA